rnacentral:rRNA from 1 species
UACGUAGGGUGCGAGCGUUGUCCGGAAUUAUUGGGCGUAAAGAGCUUGUAGGUGGCUCGUUGCGUCGGGAGUGAAAACCUGCGGCUUAACCGCAGGCCUGCUUCCGAUACGGGCGAGCUAGAGUUCGGCAGGGGAGACUGGAAUUCCUGGUGUAGCGGUGAAAUGCGCAGAUAUCAGGAAGAACACCCGUGGCUAAGGCGGCUCUCUAGUACGGUACUGACGCUGAGACGCGAAAGCGUGGGGAGCGAACAGG